ensembl:lincRNA
UAUUAUUUUUUAUCAUAACCAGGUCUAGAUCCCAAAACAAUAAAAAAACGUAAACAUACAUAAUAUUUUGUCUUUUAUUUAUUUAAUUAUUUAUUUAUUUAUUUAUUUUCAUAAUCAAUUUUUAUCAAAUUUUGUUGCAAUCAAACUUUAUUUAACCAAAUUUCAAAUACGUUUUUUUUUUUAUCUGAUCAUAUUUUUGCAUUAAUUAUUUCAAUAUUAGAUAAUAUAAAACAAAAUUACAGAGUAAAUAAAAUAAUUGUGGACGCUGACAGUUAAAUACUGACUCAACAAAUGAAUUCACAAUAAUAAGCCCCAAACGAAAAAAAAAAAUCCACAAUAUUAAUUUUAGAUGAUGGUCUGAAGUAAAAAUUAAAAAUAUUCAUUCACCAAACAUAAAACUGCUUUGGUAAUUUAUCAAACAGCAGUGAAAAUAGUGUUUGUGUUUGGCGAACAAACCUUGCAGCAAAAGCGCAUGUACGCAUGCGCGUGAGAGUCGUUUGUUGGAUCAGGUUUAAAUUCCAGCGCAGCAAUGGCAGAGCUCCUCCGAAACAUCAUAUUCAGGCGAUUUUCCUUCAUCAAAGUUAUGGGCCAUUGGAAAACCACACAGCUACAAUGAAGAUGGGAAUCCUUGAAACAGUUAGCAUCAGGAGCAUGAUGAAGUUUAAGAGCCCUGUCAACUGUGCUGAAUGUCUGCUGUCCUGGAAGAGGAGAUGGUGCUCGACAAUAGGAGGCUUUAUCAAUGCAUCGUUUGUGCUUUUGGAUUAUAGUAUCUACUCAACCUGGAAUACAAUGACUAAAUAGGUUUACAUGGUAAAUAUUUGAAACAGAUGCAGCUUUAUGUGCUUGAAGUUCCUCUUGAAGAUUUUUUUUUCACUUUUCUUGAAACUUUUGUGAGUUUUUUUCUGUUCUGGAAUCAUCUGUGUCAACUGGGUAAAGUAACCCAUUGUUUAGAUUUGAUGGUGCUUUUGACGAUUUUAAUAUUCAUUUAUUAAUUUUCCUUCAGCUUAGUCCCCUGUUUAUCAGGGGGAGCCACAGCGGAAUGAACCGUUCAUUGUUUAUAUGCAAAUAUAUUAGAUGUUUAAUGUUAAUGAAUGGGUUUAACUAUUAAAAAUGUGAUUUCAUAAGUUCAGAUUAUCUUUUGUAGAAUGAAAGCAUUCAGGUGACAACACUAAACAAUGGUUAAAGUAACCUCACAAAAAUACUCACAUUUUAUGCAGUUUUUUUUUUUUUUUCCGUUUUUACAUUUUUGCAGAUAUUUGGGAUAUAUAUUAAGUACACUUCAGCUCUAUGUAUUGACCUUAUUCCUCACAUACGAGCAGGCACAGCCAUUUGAAUCUUAAUAAAAACUGUUUGUUUUGAUGCUUGAUGUUGCAAACUGAUAUUUUCUUAAUAUAUUAUUCUGCUUUGUCUGUAGAGUCAUAAACACACUAGUUUGUAGAGCAAGUAUUUUGUCUGUUUUCCGCUGUUUAAUAUUCCUAGUCAUUUCUCCCAUAGGGCACUGAAUCAGAUGUUCGAAAACAAAUCGGAAAAACUUCCGCCUUAAAGAAUGAGGUCAAUAUUAGGAGAAAUAAAAUGCUAGAAUUUAUACGGUAUACUUUGUUGAAAUGUGUAAUGUAUUUGUUAUUCUAAAGUACUUUUACAAUAGUGUCUCUUUAAUAAAAAUAAAUAAAUAAAUAAAUAAAUGUG